rnacentral:rRNA from 1 species
UACGUAGGUGGCAAGCGUUGUCCGGAUUUAUUGGGCGUAAAGCGCGCGCAGGCGGUCCUUUAAGUCUGAUGUGAAAUCUUGCGGCUCAACCGCAAGCGGUCAUUGGAAACUGGGGAACUUUGAGUACAGAAGAGGAAAGCGGAAUUCCACGUGUAGCGGUGAAAUGCGUAGAGAUGUGGAGGAACACCAGUGGCGAAGGCGGCUUUCUGGUCUGUAACUGACGCUGAGGAGCGAAAGCGUGGGGAGCAAACAGG